rnacentral:rRNA from 1 species
GACGAACGCUGGCGGCGUGCCUAAUACAUGCAAGUUGAGCGCUGAAGGUUGGUACUUGUACCAACUGGAUGAGCAGCGAACGGGUGAGUAACGCGUGGGGAAUCUGCCUUUGAGCGGGGGACAACAUUUGGAAACGAAUGCUAAUACCGCAUAAAAACUUUAAACACAAGUUUUAAGUUUGAAAGAUGCAAUUGCAUCACUCAAAGAUGAUCCCGCGUUGUAUUAGCUAGUUGGUGAGGUAAAGGCUCACCAAGGCGAUGAUACAUAGCCGACCUGAGAGGGUGAUCGGCCACAUUGGGACUGAGACACGGCCCAAACUGCUAAGGGAGGGAGCAGUAGGGAAUCUUCGGCAAUGGACGAAAGUCUGAACGAGCAACGCCGCGUGAGUGAAGAAGGGUUUCGGAUCGUAAAACUCUGUUGGUAGAGAAGAAAGUUGGUGAGAGUGGAAAGCUCAUCAAGUGACGGUAACUACACAGAAAGGGACGGCUAACUACGUG